AACGUACGCUGGCGGCACGCCUAACACAUGCAAGUCGAGCGAGGUAGCAAUACCUAGCGGCAGACGGGUGCGUAACAUGUGGGAAUCUGCCUUUUGGUUCGGAACAACACGGGGAAACCUGUGCUAAUACCGGAUAAGUCCUUACGGAGAAAGUUUUAAUGCCAAAAGAUGAGCCCGCAUUUGAUUAGCUAGUUGGUGAGGUAAAAGCUCACCAAGGCGAUAAUCAAUAGCUGAUUUGAGAGGAUGAUCAGCCACACUGGGACUGAGAUACGGCCCAGACUCCUACGGGAGGCAGCAGUGGGGAAUCUUGCACAAUGGGCGAAAGCCUGAUGCAGCGAUGCCGCGUGAGUGAAGAAGGCCUUUGGGUUGUAAAGCUCUUUUGUCGGGAAAGAUAAUGACUGUACCCGAAGAAUAAGGUCCGGCUAACUUCGUGCCAGCAGCCGCGGUAAUACGAAGGGACCUAGCGUAGUUCGGAAUUACUGGGCGUAAAGAGUAUGUAGGCGGCUAGAUAAGUUAAUUGUGAAAGCCCAAAGCUUAACCUUGGAAUUGCAAUUAAAACUAUUUAGCUGGAGUAUGAUAGAGGAAAGCGGAAUACAUAGUGUAGAGGUGAAAUUCGUAGAUAUUAUGUAGAACACCAGUUGCGAAGGCGGCUUUCUGGAUCAUUACUGACGCUGAGAUACGAAAGUAUGGGUAGCGAAGAGGAUUAGAUACCCUCGUAGUCCAUACCAUAAACGAUGAUUAUUAGAUGUGGGGAAUUAUUUCUCUGUAUCAUAGCUAACGCGUUAAAUAAUCCGCCUGGGGAGUACGACCGCAAGGUUAAAACUCAAAUGAAUUGACGGGGACCCGCACAAGCGGUGGAGCAUGUGGUUUAAUUCGAAGCAACGCGCAGAACCUUACCAACCCUUGACAUGUUCGUCGCGAGAUUAAGAAAUUAGUCUCU
rnacentral:rRNA from 1 species